rnacentral:rRNA from 1 species
AUUGAACGCUGGCGGAAUGCUUUACACAUGCAAGUCGAACGGCAGCACGGGAGCAAUCCUGGUGGCGAGUGGCGAACGGGUGAGUAAUAUAUCGGAACGUGCCCAGUCGUGGGGAUAACGUAGCGAAAGCUACGCUAAUACCGCAUACGAUCUAUGGAUGAAAGCGGGGGAUCGCAAGACCUCGCGCGAUUGGAGCGGCCGAUAUCAGAUUAGGUAGUUGGUGAGGUAAAGGUUCACCAAGCCGACGAUCUGUAGCUGGUCUGAGGGGACGACCAGCCACACUGGGACUGAGACACGGCCCAGACUCCUACGGGAGGCAGCAGUGGGGAAUUUUGGACAAUGGGCGCAAGCCUGAUCCAGCAAUGCCGCGUGCAGGAUGAAGGCC